ACCUCCGGAGUGUCUGGCAAAGUCGUGUCCUCCUGUCAGCUCUCCUGCUCACGGUUCUCUGGUCUGCUCCGACACACAUGGAGAGUUCAGCUUUGGUUCUCGCUGCACAUCCGCCUGUGAGGAUGGAUUUGUCCUGAAUGGAACCGAGGAGACAAACUGCACCUCUUCUGGCGUUUGGAGCGCAGACAUCCCAAGAUGCAUUGCCCUGACCUGUCCCCCUCUGACCGUCGUCUCUCAUGGUUCCACUCUCUGCUGGGAUCCACAUGAAAGAUCCAGUUUUGGUUCUCGUUGUACGACGUCCUGUGAGGACGGGUUUCUCCUGAACGGGACGGCUGACACAGAGUGCUCCUCUGGAGGCACGUGGACCUCUGAUGUCCCCGUCUGUUUG